UUACCCCGCUGGAACUUAAGCAUAUCAAUAAGCGGAGGAAAAGAAACCAACAGGGAUUGCCCUAGUAACGGCGAGUGAAGCGGCAACAGCUCAAAUUUGAAAUCUGGCUUCGGCCCGAGUUGUAAUUUGCAGAGGAUGUUUCUGGCGCGGUGCCUUCCGAGUUCCCUGGAACGGGACGCCAUAGAGGGUGAGAGCCCCGUAUGGUUGGAUACUAAGCCUGUGUGAAACUCCUUCGACGAGUCGAGUAGUUUGGGAAUGCUGCUCAAAAUGGGAGGUAAAUCUCUUCUAAAGCUAAAUAUUGGCCAGAGACCGAUAGCGCACAAGUAGAGUGAUCGAAAGAUGAAAAGCACCUUGAAAAGGGGGUUAAACAGUACGUGAAAUUGUUGAAAGGGAAGCGCUCAUGACCAGACUUGUGCUGGGCAGCUCAUCCGGGGUUCUCCCCGGUGCACUCUGCCCAGUUCAGGCCAGCAUCGAUUUUUGCUGGGGGAUAAGAACGGUAGGAACGUGGCCCUCCUUCGGGUGGGUGUUAUAGCCUGCCGUACGAUACCCUGGCGGAGAUCGAGGUUCGCGCAUCUGCAAGGAUGCUGGCGUAAUGGUCAUCAGCGACCCGUCUUGAAACACGGACCAAGGAGUCGUCCAUUAGAGCGAGCGUUUGGGUGUAAAACCCGCACGCGUAAUGAAAGUGAAAUUAGGUGAGAGCUUCGGCGCAUCAUCGACCGAUCCUGAUGUUCUCGGAAGGAUUUGAGUAAGAGUUUUAACGGACGGACCCGAAAGACAGUGAACUAUGCUUGUAUAGGGUGAAGCCAGAGGAAACUCUGGUGGAGGCUCGCAGCGGUUCUGACGUGCAAAUCGAUCGUCAAAUAUGAGCAUGGGGGCGAAAGACUAAUCGAACUGUCUAGUAGCUGGUUACCGCCGAAGUUUCCCCUCAGGAA
rnacentral:rRNA from 1 species